GCUGAUGACUAGGCACUUGUUGGAGUAACUGUUUGCCUCUUAGCAUGGAGCCAGAUGGCUAGUGAGGGGAAUUUAUAAAGUUAGGAAUUCAUGGCAGGAAAAGGUAGUUUGAAAGCUUCUCGGCGGCCUUGGGAGAGAGCACAGGCAAUGAGAGGAAAGAAGCAGGCACUGGAAGAGUUUGUGCUGCUAGAUCAAUUGGUGGCAAAUGUCAAAAACUGUGUUCCUAACAGUGAGGAAAAGUUUUACAGUUACAGUAUCAGUUAGUGAAAGGUUUGCCAUGUAGCAUUCUACAGGCAAGGGGAACUGGUUACGAAGAUAUAGCUACAAAGAGAUAGCAAAGUUUUGGAAAGUAUAUUUAGAUAAUGUCACAAAUACAAUUGGAUACUUUUUAAUAUAGUUCUGAAAAACUAUCUUCAACACAAAAAUAUUUCAAGAACAAAAAUGCACAGAAUUUAGAAAAGGAAAACGUCGUUUCAAAGAGGCAAACUUAUGAAUCGCAUCAGCAACAGAAUAUUUUGUCUGUCCAGAUACACAAGCCUCAAUAUCUUCUGGACUUAGCUGAGUCUGUAAGAAGAGGUGAAGUCUACUGUCCGAAAGCAAUAAUGCAUUUUGUAGGAUCCUUUAAAAAAAAGAAAAACACACGUAGUUACUAGAACAAUUUCUCAGAGGUGUCCGGCUUUUAAAUGAAUCCCAAAUUAGCUUCAGAAUGCACUGCAUAUAAUAAAAUGAUUAGUGCCAUCUGGAGGUUAAAUGCGUGAAGAAACACAGAGAGGAAGAAUUAGAGAAAGAUGUUCAUUGAACCAAUCACACACAGUCCAUCUAGAAGGGAAAACAUUUAGAGUUCUUUACUAACCACUGUAAGUCAACAUGAGCAGUCAUAGAAGCACUCUUCACCUAGGUAUGCCCUUGGAACGCCUGCUCUACUCUUUAAUUGAGAAAUGACAACUUUUGCUUUCUUCCUUCUGCACCAGCCGCUUAUAUUGCUUGAAGGAUGUAAUUAAAAAGCCAUCAAAAUGAAAAAUAAAGUGUCUGCACUAUUCA